rnacentral:tRNA from 3 species
GGGGCUAUAGCUCAGUUGGGAGAGUGCCUGGAUCGCACCCAGGAGGUCGCCGGUUCGAGCCCGGCUAGCUCCA